AUUGAACGCUGGCGGCAUGCCUUACACAUGCAAGUCGAACGGCAGCACGGGAGCAAUCCUGGUGGCGAGUGGCGAACGGGUGAGUAAUAUAUCGGAACGUGCCCAGUCGUGGGGGAUAACGCAGCGAAAGCUGUGCUAAUACCGCAUACGAUCUACGGAUGAAAGCGGGGGAUCGCAAGACCUCGCGCGAUGGGAGCGGCCGAUAUCAGAUUAGCUAGUUGGUGGGGUAAAGGCCUACCAAGGCGACGAUCUGUAGCUGGUCUGAGAGGACGACCAGCCACACUGGAACUGAGACACGGUCCAGACUCCUACGGGAGGCAGCAGUGGGGAAUUUUGGACAAUGGGCGCAAGCCUGAUCCAGCAAUGCCGCGUGCAGGAUGAAGGCCUUCGGGUUGUAAACUGCUUUUGUACAGAACGAAAAGGUCUCUAUUAAUACUAGGGGCUCAUGACGGUACUGUAAGAAUAAGCACCGGCUAACUCUGUGCCAGCAGCCGCCGUAAGAC
rnacentral:rRNA from 1 species